UGGUUUUAAAUAUGCUACAUGUCACCAUGAAGAUUCGAACUAAACUAAAAAUUGCUUAAGAUGGCACGCAGUUUCGCGCCGUUUUUUACGCUUUAUUCUCGGGGGGUGCCAUGAUAUUUCCGUUACUAUACAGUCAGACUCGAUGUGUUGCCAACAAAACAAUUAUUCAUAGCAACCGCUGCCAAUAAAAGGGAAUGAGGAAAAUUUUCACUUCGUAGUUGAACAUCUCAUCUAGACGGAAGUACAUUCGCCAACAUCCUGCCCCGCGGCUGCGAAGCUUAAGUUAUCCCGUGUUGGAAGAGGAGCCAGUUUGCUAAUAGAACGUCGAAAAGUUCCAUUCGAUGUCUUCACGUCUACCACACGUACCAAAGAAUCUGGUCCCGGAUAAGUAGCAGUUACAAUUCCAAGCUUCCAUACCAUUGGAGGAAGAUUGUCCUCGAUUAGAAGCACCACUGUUCCGGGUUGUACACUUGGUGAUACAGCUGUCCAUUUGCCACGCGACUGUAGUGAUGUUAAGUACUCUCGGGACCAACGCCCCCAAAAGUGUUCACGAAGCUUGUCAAGAUAUCUCCACCGGGAGAGUCGAUUGUCUGGAAUUUCCUUGCAAGUUGGCUUUGCAAUACAAGCCAAUGGUCUACCAAUUUGCAAAUGGGCAUCUGGACUUUGGGAAAGAUUAAACAGUGGCCUCGAAUUCAAAAUGGCCUCAACAUGUAUGCGUUUUGACACUUUUAACUCCCGCCUCCCACAAACCACCAAAAUUUGGCGCCCUUGGAGGGAUGAAGUGCCACUCUAUCUCUCUCGAAACUAAGAAAUCAUUUACAGUACGACGAUGUGUUUCAUUUUGAAAUUGUGUAUACAGCAGAUGAAGUUCAUUCGAAGCUCCCACAAAAUUUGAUCCAUUAUCCGAGAAUAAUUUUCGUACUAAUCCUCGGCGAUUGAUAAAACGUUCCAGUGCUGCGAUGAAGGCGGCAGUAGUGAGUUCUGAUACUAAUUCUAAGUGCACAUUUUUCGUUGUCAUACACACGAAUACGGCAAUAUAACACUUCAUAAUUUUCGGGCGAUGUUUUCCUUGCUUCACAUUAACCGGACCGGCAUAAUCUACGCCAGUAUACUCAAAAGGAGAUGCAAUAUUAACACGCUCUACAGAUAAAGCUCUCAGGGGCCAGAAACUUUGCCGAAUGAUACUCAAUAAUCCCGAGGGUCCCACGUGUAAGUGCUCAACAUGAAGGGUUCUAAUAAUCAUUUCUGUUAUUGAAUGUCUCGGCAAGAUGAGUGGAUGUUUAGUCUCGAAUGGUAGGACCGACUUCUGCAAACGACCGCCUACACGCAAUAAAUGAUUAUCAUCAAGAAAAGGACUAAGAUUAGCCAAUCGACGCAGUGGUUGUCCCCUUUCAAUACGAAACACUCAAAUAUGCUGUCGUUUUGAAUUGCUUUGUCGGCUUGCGUUUGCAAUUGCGAAUGAAUCUCUGCACAUAUGCAAUAACACGUUGAAGCUUACGGAAGUUAUUGAACCUUUCGAAAACCGGUCCGUGCCACCAGAGCAAAUUUCCGCUUAGCAUAGCUGGCAGCUGGCCUCGAGACACAACAUCCGCUGGAUUUUGUCGUGUAUUCACGUAUUUCCAGGAGAAACUGUGGGUAAGAUUGUUAAUCUGCACAACUCGGUUUUGGAUAAAUACCUCAAGAGACCCGAGUGGUUUUUUCAACCAGGCCAGAACAAUUUGGCUAUCGCACCACAAUAAAAUCACUGAGCAUUUUAUUUGCAAUGCUUCAAUCACCUUAACAACAAGCCGAGCCAAAAUCAAUGCUCCCAAAAGCUCCAACCUUGGGAUAGUCGUAGCCUUUAAUGGAGCCACCCGAGAUUUGGCACACAUGAGAUGCAUCACUGCUGAUCCAUCCGAUAGAACACUCCGUAAAUAUACGCAGGCCCCGUACGCUGCAACUGAUGCAUCUGAGAAUCCAUGGAUUUCAUAUCGUACAACAGAUGGUAACUUCAUACAUCUUGGAACCUUGAUCAAAUGCGCUGUGCAGCUUCUUCCUCUGUGUCAGCUCCAGACAGCAUAUCAUCUACGUAUACAUCAUUUAGAACCAUUUUAGAUGCAACUGGAUAACGUUGUUGUUCUUCUAUGGCCAACUGUACUAAGCAUCUCGACGCGAGAAA